UACGUAGGGGGCUAGCGUUGUCCGGAAUCAUUGGGCGUAAAGAGCGUGUAGGCGGCCCGGUAAGUCCGCUGUGAAAGUCGGGGGCUCAACCCUCGGAUGCCGGUGGAUACUGUCGGGCUCGAGUACGGAAGAGGCGAGUGGAAUUCCUGGUGUAGCGGUGAAAUGCGCAGAUAUCAGGAGGAACACCCAUUGCGAAGGCAGCUCGCUGGGACGUUACUGGCGCUGAGACGCGAAAGCGUGGGGAGCAAACAGG
rnacentral:rRNA from 1 species